CCGGCCAAAGCAAGAACAAAGGAAGAAAAGGAAGAACAAAAACCCUAGAGUGAAAAUUCAAGAGAAAAUUGGUGGAUUUCAAGUAAUCAAGCAAUCAAAGGUAAAAUUUCUUGAUUUUGACUUGUGAUCUACCUUUCCCAUACAUUCUUUUGCAUUUUCCAUGGUUGAAUCACAUGAUUUCAUGAUGGGUCUCUUGCUGGCCGAACACUUAGAGAGAGAUUUUGAUGCUUGAUUUGGUUAGAUUUCAAUGUAUUUUAGUGUUUUUAGUUAGUUAGUGAUGUGUAGCAUGAAAAGCCAACAAGAAAAAUUCAAUUUCUCCCAUCACCCAUCAUUGGCCGAAUCUUCCAUGUAGAGUGUGGAUGGUGGAUUUGAUUUUAUUUCAAGUGAAUUGGUUAGGAAAUGAUGAAUUAUGGUGAGAAAAUCAAGUAGGAAAAAUCAUAUUGUUGAUGCACCCACCAUGGUCGAAAUUCCCAAGAGAAAAUGUGAAGAUGAUUUUGCUAAAUUUUAUGCUAUUUGACUUGUGUUUGAUGGUUUGGAGAAUUGGAAGAAAAGUGGAGCUAAUUGGAGUUGAAUUGGACAUAUUGGCCAAUUAAUCGAGUGAUAGAUCGAAUUAGGCCAAUACCAUUUUAUUUAGGUACACAAUUGAAUUUGUGUAGAACACCGUGUUUAGACGAUAAUCCGAACAAUUUGCAUUCCAUUUCAUGCAUCCAUAUAGUUUUAUAACGGUUUAGCACCAAUGUGGUAAAUUGCUUGAUUGUGCAUUAUGUCUAGAUGGUGAAUCCUCCAAUAAGGGCAAAGAAAUUGUAUCCGAGGAUUGAUAGUCGGAGUACCCUAAAAAUUCGACUCCCGAAAUAGUGAGUAACCUUAUCAUCAUUUUAAUUAUCUAAAGUGGUUUCUUUAUUCGAUAUUGUGAAUUUUAUGGAAAAUGAGUUUAAAUGGUUAAUUUUUAGGUUUUAUAAACAAAAUGUGUUUAAAUGAAAUGAUUUUAUAAAUUGUCUUGAAAUUGAAUGAUGGUUUUGAAAAUAGAGUAAUUGGAGACCAUUUGAUGUAUUGUGAAUUUAUGGUUCUAAUUGAUUGGCUUAUGGCAAUAUUGGCAUGAAUAGUUGAAUUGGUAAAUGUGUUGAAAAUGUAUGAACUAUUGAUUUUCCUUGAGAGGCUGUACAAUAAAAUAAUUGCCAUGUCAUGCUAUCGCAAAUUUUAUUGUAUGGUGGGUUUAGCUUGCUGCAGUGGGCGGGUUCUGUGGACCAACCUAUUAGAGGGGCACGAAAUUCUGUUAUAUACGUACCUUGGUCGAAGAGGUGCAUGGAGUAACUCUUGAGGUAUGGUUAGAGUUCACGUCACGCUGAACCACCUCAUGAUGAUGAACUCCACUAAUGCCAAGGAACGACUGUGUUUUUCAAACUAAAAAUAUGUUUUAUGCACACAAGACUUUUUAAAAGCCUUGGCGGACUCGGUUAGAUGCCUCAGCCAAGGUAUUUUCGAGAAUGAUUUUAGGCAGGAGUCAAGCUUUUAAGAUACUCAUAAG
rnacentral:lncRNA from 1 species